CGAGCGCAACCCUUGCCUUUAGUUGCCAGCAGUUCGGCUGGGCACUCUAAAGGGAACUGCCGGUGUUAAACCGGAGGAAGGUGGGGAUGACGUCAAGUCCUCAUGGUCUUUAUGACCAGGGCUACACACGUACUACAAUGGCCGAUACAAAGGGCAGCGACACUGCGAGGUGAAGCCAAUCCCGUAAAAUCGGUCUCAGUCCGGAUUGGAGUCUGCAACUCGACUCCAUGAAGUUGGAAUCGCUAGUAAUCGUGGAUCAGCAUGCCACGGUGAAUACGUUCCCGGGCCUU
rnacentral:rRNA from 1 species